UACGUAGGGAGCAAGCGUUGUCCGGAAUCAUUGGGCGUAAAGCGCGCGUAGGUGGCCAUGUAAGUCCGCUGUGAAAGUCAAAGGCUCAACCUUUGAAAAGCCGGUGGAUACUGGCACGGCUAGAGUACGGAAGAGGCGAGUGGAAUUCCGUGGUGUAGCGGUGGAAUGCGCAGAUAUCAGGAGGAACACCAAUAGCGAAGGCAGCUCGCUGGGACGUUACUGACACUGAGGCGCGAAAGCGUGGGGAUCAAACAGG
rnacentral:rRNA from 1 species